GUUGAUUGAGAUGCAGAGAGACAUUUUUAUGAAAUUUCAAAAUGAAAAAAAUCUCCUCUCAUUACACAACAUAUGUCAAAUGGAGUUUAAAAAAUAAAACAAAAAAUCUCCUUUUUAGUCGUCUCAAUGCGUAUUAUCAGAAGAAGAAGAAAUACAAUCUCCUUCUUCUCCAAACCAUUCUUUCUCGAGGUGCAUAAAAUCAAAACCCCAU
rnacentral:lncRNA from 1 species